AUGAAAAUGCAGAUCGAUCACAGGCUACCUCUACUGCUGGAGACCUGCUGUACAAGAUUUCAUUUCCAAAGGCAAAGAGGGGCGAAUGUGUUGCUAAACCACUCAAAGCAGCACCGACGUUUUUCCUGCUGGACCUGGGAAGGUAUAUGGAGGAACUUUGGAACAUUCCGGUCCCAGCGCCCCAUUGUGCAGAUUUUGAGCGGCCUGACAGAAGGGAGGUCAUCGAUGCUAUGGUUUCACGAUUCAACAACCCACAGCAAAGCUAGUGAUGCUAUGAAGAAGACCUGGAGACUUAAUCUGCUAGAGCUUCUGCACAGCUUCCGAGUGUGAUGAGAACAACAAAAAACAUGACAUCUCCCCAACCAUCUAUGGUCUUUUUAGCUUACUUCUACCAGGCUCUACAAACGUUCCUUUCAUUAGUCCAUCAGAAUGCCCCCCUCACUCACCAACUUGGACAAUAAACAUUGGACUGUUCUGAUAGGACUUAGAAAG
rnacentral:lncRNA from 1 species